AGAGUUUGAUCAUGGCUCAGGACGAACGCUGGCGGCGUGCUUAACACAUGCAAGUCGAGCGGAAAGGCCCUUCGGGGUACUCGAGCGGCGAACGGGUGAGUAACACGUGAGCAAUCUGCCUUUCACUCUGGGAUAACCCUCGGAAACGGGGGCUAAUACUGGAUAUUACUUCUGGUCGCAUGGCUGGUUGUGGAAAGUUUUUCGGUGGAAGAUGAGCUCGCGGCCUAUCAGCUUGUUGGUGGGGUGAUGGCCUACCAAGGCUUCGACGGGUAGCCGGCCUGAGAGGGCGACCGGCCACACUGGGACUGAGACACGGCCCAGACUCCUACGGGAGGCAGCAGUGGGGAAUAUUGCACAAUGGGCGGAAGCCUGAUGCAGCGACGCCGCGUGAGGGAUGACGGCCUUCGGGUUGUAAACCUCUUUCAGCAGGGACGAAGCGUGAGUGACGGUACCUGCAGAAGAAGCGCCGGCCAACUACGUGCCAGCAGCCGCGGUAAGACGUAGGGCGCGAGCGUUGUCCGGAUUUAUUGGGCGUAAAGAGCUCGUAGGCGGCUUGUUGCGUCGUUCGUGAAAUCCCGUGGCUCAACUGCGGGCUUGCGGACGAUACGGGCAGGCUAGAAUUCGGUAGGGGAGACUGGAAUUCCUGGUGUAGCGGUGAAAUGCGCAGAUAUCAGGAGGAACACCGGUGGCGAAGGCGGGUCUCUGGGCCGAUAUUGACGCUGAGGAGCGAAAGCGUGGGGAGCGAACAGGAUUAGAUACCCUGGUAGUCCACGCUGUAAACGUUGGGCGCUAGGUGUGGGGGGCCUCUCCGGUUUCCUGCGCCGUAGCUAACGCAUUAAGCGCCCCGCCUGGGGAGUACGGCCGCAAGGCUAAACUCAAAGGAAUUGACGG
rnacentral:rRNA from 1 species